CACAAUAAUAGGCAGAAGUAGAAGAUGUGGAAGCUUAAGGUUGCCGAAGGUGGCGGGCCGUACAUGUACAGUACCAACAACUACGUCGGCAGACAAAUAUGGGAGUAUGACCCUAACGCCGGCACGCCGGAAGAACGAGAAGCGCUUGAAAAUGCCCGCCGAGAAUUUAGAGAAAACCGGCCGGAGAAAGGUUCCCAUGCCUGCGGUGAUUUGAUAAUGAGAAUGCAGAUGAUCAAAGAAAGUGGGAUUGACGUGUUGAACACUCCCCCAAUAAGGCUAGGAGACGAAGAAGUGAACUACUCGGCGGUUACAACCGCUGUUAGAAAAGCCGUACGAUUGAACCGUGCACUUCAAGCUAGAGACGGACACUGGCCAGCUCUGAAUGCUGGCCCUAUGUUUUUCACUCCUCCCUUGCUUAUUGCGUUGUACAUUUGUGGAGCAAUCAAUACAGUUUUAACCUCAGAGCACACGAAAGAAAUUGUCCGAUACAUUUACAAUCAUCAAAAUGAAGAUGGUGGAUGGGGAUUGUACAUAGAUGGACACAGUACCAUGAUUGGGUCAGCACUUAACUAUGUGGCCUUGCGUUUGCUUGGAGAAGUACCUCUUGAUGAUGGUGCCAUUACUAGGGGUCGCAAGUGGAUUCUUGACCAUGGCGGUGCCACUAAAAUCCCUUCUUGGGGAAAGGUUUUUCUCUCGGUGCUUGGAGUGUACGAGUGGGAUGGGUGUAAUCCACUCCCACCAGAAUUUUGGCUUUUCCCAUCCAUUUUCCCAUUCCAUCCUGCAAAAAUGUGGUGUUACUGUCGGACAACAUACAUGUCUAUGUCGUACUUGUAUGCAAAGAGAUAUCAUGGACCGUUAAAAGAUCUUGUUCUCUGUAUAAGAAAUGAAAUUCAUGUCAAAGCUUAUGAUCGGAUUGAUUGGAACAGUACUCGCAUGGAUUGUUGUAAGCAGGAGGACAUGUACUACCCCCAUAGUUUCAUACAAGAUCUCCUAUGGAACACCCUUCAAUAUUGUACUGAGCCAUUCAUGAGGUGUUGGCCUUUCAAGAAAAUUAGGGAAAUGGCUAUGAGAAAAGCAAUCAAGUAUAUGCGCUAUGAAGCAGAAGAGAGCAGAUACAUAAACAUUGGCUGCAUAAUAAAGAGUUUGCAAAUGAUGUGCUGGUGGGCAGAAGAUCCAAACUGCGAUGAGUUCAAAUACCAUCUUGCUAGAGUUCUUGAUUACUUAUGGCUUGCAGAAGAUGGAAUGACAAUGCAAACUUUUGGGAGUCAGAAUUGGGAUGCAGCUCAUGCCACCCAAGCUAUAAUUGCCAGUGGCAUGGUAGAAGAAUAUGGAGACUGCCUGAAAAACGCCCAUUUCUAUAUUAAAGAAUCACAAGUAAAAGGAAAUCCAAAAGGAGACUUCAAAAAUAUGUAUCGUCAUUUCACAAAAGGAUCAUGGACAUUCUCUGAUCAAGAUCAUGGUUGGGCUACCUCUGACGUCACAGCAGAAGCGCUUAAGUGCCUGCUAGUCCUUGGGGAAAUGCCACCCGAAAUUGUAGGAGAAAAGGCCGAUGUUCAGCACUUGUAUAAAGCUGUAGAUGUUUGCCUUUAUCUUCAAAGUCCCGAAAGUGGUGGUUUUGGUGCAUGGGAGCCUCCUAUUCCACAAGCAUACAUGCAACUAUUGAAUCCCUCUGAACUCUUUGCAGAUAUUGUCGUGGAGAAAGAGCACGUAGAACCUACUGGAUCUAUAAUCAGUGCUCUUGCCGCCUUCAGAAAUCAUUAUCCAAAUUAUAGAGCAAAAGAAGUUGAUAUCUCUAUUACAAAGGCAGUACAAUACAUUGAAAAACAGCAGUAACCAGAUGGGUCAUGGUAUGGAUACUGGGGAAUUUGCUUCCUCUAUGCCACUCGCUUUGCCCUAUUAGGGCUGGCAGCUGCAGGAAAGAAUUACGAGAAUUGCGAAGCCAUUCGCAAAGCUGCUCACUUCUACCUAGCAAAACAGAAUCAAGAGGGUGGCUGGGGAGAAUGUCUUGAAUCUUGCCCAACCAUGAAAUACAUACCAUUGGAAGGGGAUCGUACAAAUUUGGUUCAAACAUCAUGGGCAAUGCUAGGACUUAUGUACACUGGGCAGGCCGAGAGGGAUCCAACUCCUUUACACAAAGCUGCAAAGUUAUUGAUUAAUGCACAAAUGGAUAAUGGAGAUUUUCCUCAAGAAGAAAUUACUGGAGUCUUCAUGAAGAAUUGCAUGUUGCACUAUGCACUAUAUAGGAGUUAUUUUCCAUUGUUGGCACUGGCAGAAUAUCGCAAACGUGUAUGGACAUCAAAAAACUAC